rnacentral:rRNA from 1 species
UUAAGUAGACCGCCUGGGGAGUACGGCCGCAAGGUUAAAACUCAAAUGAAUUGACGGGGGCCCGCACAAGCGGUGGAGCAUGUGGUUUAAUUCGAUGCAACGCGAAGAACCUUACCUGGUCUUGACAUCCACGGAAGUUUUCAGAGAUGAGAAUGUGCCUUCGGGAACCGUGAGACAGGUGCUGCAUGGCUGUCGUCAGCUCGUGUUGUGAAAUGUUGGGUUAAGUCCCGCAACGAGCGCAACCCUUAUCCUUUGUUGCCAGCGAUUCGGUCGGGAACUCAAAGGAGACUGCCAGUGAUAAACUGGAGGAAGGUGGGGAUGACGUCAAGUCAUCAUGGCCCUUACGACCAGGGCUACACACGUGCUACAAUGGCGCAUACAAAGAGAAGCGACCUCGCGAGAGCAAGCGGACCUCAUAAAGUGCGUCGUAGUCCGGAUUGGAGUCUGCAACUCGACUCCAUGAAGUCGGAAUCGCUAGUAAUCGUGGAUCAGAAUGCCACGGUGAAUACGUUCCCGGGCCUUGUACACACCGCCCGUCACACCAUGGGAGUGGGUUGCAAAAGAAGUAGGUAGCUUAACCUUCGGGAGGGCGCUUACCACUUUGUGAUUCAUGACUGGGGUGAAGUCGUAACAAGGUAACCGUAGGGGAACCUGCGGUUGGAUCACCUCCUUACCUGAAAGAAGC